CCCCUCUCAGGGUAGCACCUGGAGAGUUUCCAGUGCUCUACUAGUCUUGACUAGGGGAGGAAGAGUCAAGCAGAAGCAUAACCAUUCCACUCCUAGCUUGCCCAGUGGCUAGCGAGUGGAAGGCAAUCUGCUACAAGU